UCCCCACCACCACCAACCCCCCUUACCCCCACCACCACCGCAGUGCACGCCAGGCUGUGUAGGCCUCUGAGCCUCUGCUCAUGCUGUUCCUCUGCCCCGAGUGCCUUUCCUUCUCUCCACUCUUUCUUCACACUGGGUACUGCCUCACUGUUUAAAAUGCCCGUUAGACACACCCUUCUUUCCUGGAAGAAGGGUGACCCUUUCUGACCCCAGUUCAAUCAGAUCUCUCCUCCACACACACAGCCCACUGUGCAUGCUCAUCACAGCAGCAAUCACACUGUCCUGUUUCCCCAGACAGCCUGUGACCAACUCAAGGGCAGGGUCUGUGUGUACCCUACAGCGCCUAGCUCAGGGAGGAAUGCAGAUUGUGUGUGAAUGAACGAACGAACGAACCAACACAAAUAGCUGACAUCAAGCAAUUAUGGGGUGCCAGGCACCGUGCUAAGUGCUUUACAGCUGAAAUGUACCUCCUGGGGAACAUCAAAAGGAGUCCAUUCUCCAGGAGAGACCAGCAGGCCCAGAUGGAGGGCCUCCCUGACUUUGUGAGUGCCUCCUGACAGAACCUGACACAGAACCCCAUCCUGUGGCUUCUUAAUAAUGCCUCCCUUCCCCUCUACUCCUGCCCCUUCAAAGCUCUCCAGACACAGAGUACCAAGCUUUGGAAAGUCCUCUGCUUGUGUUAUCUGAUCCCCCAGCUUUCAGAGAAGGCAGAGUGGGAAGGUUUCCAAUUUUCCUCUGGUAGACCAGAGAGAUGGAGUAAUUUGCCCAAAGGCCCACAGAGAGAAGGGGUGACCAACAGGACCUAGCUCUCCUGGUUCCCAGCCCAGGAUCACACAGUCCCCUCCAGAAAUGCCAGGACAGAAAUGCUUCUGGACAUCUCUCCCCAUCCUGCUAAGGGCGGGGGAAGCAGGAAAAAUACAGAGAAACCAGCCUCGCCUGGGGAGGAGAAACUUGAUUGUUGCUGUGAGGUUGGCAUUCUGGGAACUGCAAGGCCUAUGGCUGGUGGAGAAACAGAAAAUGUCGUCAAUCAUCCAGAGGAUGUCCUGGCUUGAAGCUGCUUUACAAGAUAGGUGUCCUUGGUCUCUGGGCUUGGUCAGACAAGAGAAAGCUCUGUGUGUGUGUGUGUACGUGCAAGCGCAUGUGUGUGCUCUUGCACAUAUGCACAUGUGUAUGUACAGACAUGUCCAUUCAGUGAGGACAUUUUAAAGAGAAUCCCAGGGAAAUUAAUGCUUAUUCUCAAGGAAGGGAGCAAAAAUGGUGGAAUCUCAGGCAGCUGGCAUUUUGGGCUGGGAGAUGCCUGAGGUAAGUGAGUAGAUGUGAUCAUGGAUACUGGGGUUCCAAAGGGCCAGGCCUGGGCACUCAAGGUCCUUGGAUGGGAAGAAUCCGGCUGGUUUCUCACAGGCCCCUAAACACCCAGCAAAUGUCUCCCAGGUUUAGCUGGAACCUGGGUAUGUCCCAACAAGGUUAGGGGAGAAGGGUCUUCUGAGGGACACCCCUCUAACCCUUCCACAUAAAGCCCUACCAAGGCCCAGGGAGAGGAAGGCAAAUGGAUUCCCAAGUUCCCAGCUGCAGGGCCCAGUGACAAAAUCAGCACCUUUGAGGCAUGUGAUCCUUUGCACAACUGAUCCUCACCCCUAGAGAGGGCUCCAGGAGUCUGGGAAGGAACCAUGGGCCUCCUGGGUCCUGCAUAUGGCUCUGCAGCACUGGCAGGUAUAAGAAGCUUUUGUUACAUUUAUUCAUCCAUUCAUUCAACAGUGAGCACCUACUAUGUGCCAAACAUGUUUCUAACACUGGGAGUACAGCAAGAACCAGUUAGACCAAAAUUCCGGCUUUCAUGGAGCUUGCAGUCCAGCAGGAGAGGUCGUGGGUGGGAAAGACAAGUACAAGGCUCAGCCUGCUGGGUCAUGAUUAGUGAUCAGAGAAAAAUAAGGCAGCGAAGGACAAAAGGGAAUGAGGUGGGGUGGGGUACAAAUUUAAAUAUGGUGUUCAGCAAAGGCUUCACUGAGGAGAAGAUAUUUGAAUAAAGCCCCUAAGGAGGUGAGGGAGUGGGCCUUGCAGAUACUGAGGGGAAGUACCUUCCAGGCAGAAGAAGCAGCACGUCUGAAGUCCCUUGGAUGUGAGCGUGCCCAGUAAGGUUGAGGAAUGGUCAAGAGGCACGUGUGGCUGGGGUGAGUGAGCAAGGGGUAAGGGGUGAGAGAUGAGGUCAGAGAAGCACAGGGUCCCAAUUGCUUAGUGCCUUGUAGGCCACUGUGAGGGAUGAACCCUGGUUUGGGGGUACCUGAAGCUUAUGCAGUCCAGUGGGGCAUCCUCAAGAUAGAUAAACCAAUUCAGGGCCUUGGAAGGGGCUUGUGCUAGUGAGAGGCCCGGACACUUAAGCUUUGCCAGUCUUGCUAUAAAUCUGCCACUGGUUGUGGUGAGAAUUUUGGCUUUUGCCUGGAGAGGGAGCCAUAGGAGAGUUUUGAGCAGAGGAGUGGCCUGACCUGACCAGCCUCUGGCCUUCCUCUGGCUGCUGAGUGGAGCAUGAACCUGGUGAUGGGGCGGGGAGGAGGGGAGGAGAAGGGGGUAAGAGAGAAAGCCAGAACACCAGUGAGCAACCCUGGACUGGCGGUGACAGCCGAGGGUGGACAGCAAUCAGAUUCUGAAAGUGGAGCUGACAAGAUGCGCUGAUCUGGAAUGUGAGGUGUGAUAGAAGAAAGGCAGAAGGGUUGACCACAGCGUUUGAGGCCUAAUCCAGCUAUCCCCAGUUGAGGUGGGGAAGGAGAGCAUCAUCAUCCCUGGACCUCAUACUAUGCAGUUCUCCAUUUUAUCUGUAAUCUGCACCACCACCCUGAGGCAGAGCUUUCAUUAAUCCCACUUCACAGAUAGAGAAAUCCCGACUCAGAGAGGUGGAGUAACUUGCCCAAGGUCACACAGCCAGUAAGUGGCAGAGCCUGGAUUCCAACUUUAGUCUUACCAACUCCAAAAUCGGUAUCUGUUCUGAUGCACCAGGAAAAGCAAGGUUUGGGGCCCUAGGAGCAGGUUAGGUGGGAGAGGCAGUUCCUGGAGGAGAGGCACAUUCCAGUAACCACAGAGGCCCCUGGAAUGCCUGCAAAGAAAGUUCUCAGCAUCCUACUCCGUGUUCCUAAUCACCUCCUCCUUAAACCUGUUUCUGAUCCAUCAGCUGGCAGAUCUCAGCUGUAAUCAUGGGGAAAUGCUUUUGUCAUCUCUUAAGUUUUCUUAAUUCACUGACAAGGUAAUAACGCCUCAGUCCAUUAUACACAUUUUCUAAAGGACUUUCAACAUUAGAAUGCAAAGCAGGCUUCUCUGGCUUAGAAAAACCUGAGACUCCUGGGAUUUAAUCAUCAAACAGAUUUAGCCCCUAAAUCUGUUUGAUGAUUAACAUCAAACAUUUCGUAAGAAAAAAACAAAUGGUAGUGCGGCCAGCAUGUCCAGGCCACCCAAAUAUGCCCAAUUUCUCCCCUAAAUAAACUCAUUGCAUUUAAACUGAUAUGAACUGAUGGUCCCAGAUGCAUUCACUCAACAGGUUUAGUAUCCAAAUGAGUCUGCCACCAUCACAGUAAUCCAUAUGACUUGGUUGAUAUUUUUUUAAUUAUCAUUAUGGAUUGAAAAGCCUUAGCCCAUGAUUUGGGAUGUCCAAUCCUAUGUAGUUUACUUAGAACAGCUCAUGCCACGUUCUGUGGCUGUGCCUACUUGGAGCCUGGGAGAAAGCGACACAACAGUGGAAGCCUAGGACUUGUGAAUCUUUUACCAUCUUGGAGCUUUGCUCUUUCCACACCAUACCCCUUCAAUACCACAACAAAAACCUGGGAAGCCAAGCUAAACAACCCUUGUCCUUUCCAGUCUUCCUCUAGCUCUCUGCUCUUGGUAAAACCUACCAGUAGGAGCAGAUAUUUGAUCUGUCAUAGAAGCUGUGAUAUUACACUCCCCAGAUGUUUAACUCACUGGACUGAAGGCUCAAGUUACAGCUAAUCAGGGCCUCUCUACACUACAGACCCCAUGCCCCCCCACCCUCCCACCCCCAAGGAACAGGAUCCUCGGCCCAUGUGGCCAACUGAGAUGGAGUAAGUAGGACCUACAUUGGGCAGGGGAUUCACUAAAAUGGCUCCUGUAGGGUCUCUACACCAGUGGCUUAGAAGGCAUGUGCUCUCAAAGCCCUCUGGGUCCAUUCAGACUGAAGGAUGCCUCCCCACAGUCCUCAAACACCUGUAUCUCCUUGCCCCAGGGCCUACUUCCUUUCCUUACCAAGAGUUUAAAGAAAGUCUGCAGGAACCUAGAAACAUUUCAUAAGAAAAACACAAAUGGCAAUGUGGCCAGCGUGUCCAGGCCACCCAAAUGUGCCUGAUUUCUCCCCCAAAUAAACUGUGGCUUCACUUUACUACUAUAUGAGGGAGACUAAGGUUACAAAUUCAGCAUAAAUUUUUUUUUUUCCUGUUAUCCAAAUAAGGUCAGGAGCAAGAGACAUACUAUGGAGGAGAAGGUGAUCAAGGCCUGCAUCAUGCCCACAGAAAUACAAUAAAGCCCUCACCCUUUCCUGUG